UUUCGUCACGCGGGCCAGCCAUGCGGCCGCGCGACGUGGCCGCGCGAGUCGCCGUAUUUCCGCCCAAAAUUCGUUUUUUUUAGCGAUUUUGGGUAUUUUUGAGAGCUACAAGACCUAGGGCAUAUAAAUACUCCCCAAGAACUUAUUCUCUGCAGACCUUUUAUCAUCUUUUACAUCUUUUGGAGAGCUUUGAGAAGACGGAGAACACCAUUGGAGCAAGAACUGAAGACUCUCGAAUUCUACUACGGUUUCAUUGUUGAAUGUUUAUUUGUGUAUUUGAGAUAUUGAUUUUUAGUCAUAUGUCUAUGUGUGGCUAGAAUCCCUUUUUCCCAGGGUUUAGGGAGUAGACAUGAUUUGAAUUUCUGACUAUUUGAUUCAAUUAAUUGAGAUUGUUAUUCCUUUCUAUGUUCUUGUUAUACUUGUUUGCUUUAUUGAUUGGCCACCAAUUUAGCAUAAUCAUAGGUUUUAAUUUGAGAUCGGGAGAUGAUAAUUAUUACCUGAACUAAGAACAUAGAACACAUUUAUUUUAAUUCUAAAGGGAAUUGAUAUUUGUGAGGGUGUUAAUCCUAUGAGCUUUUUGUGAGGGAAUCAUCCUCCACGAGAGAUAGAAUAUAGAUCCCUACCCCACAACCUUCUUUUGUUACUGACCCAUCUACAUAAGCCACCCAGGGUUUCACUUCCUCAGUUCUGGUGGUCUCUUGAAUGAAAUCCACCAGAGCUUGUGCUUUGAUGGCUGUGCGUGGCUCGAAAUCCACAUCGUAUUCGCUAAGCUCAAUGACCUAUUUCAUCAUUCGUCCUAAUAGAUCUGCUCUUCCCAAGACUUUUUUAAAAGGUAGAGAAGUGCGCAUAAUAAUUUUGUGUGCCAAGAAAUAGGGUCUUAAUUUUCGAGCAGUGACCAGCACUGCCAGUGCUGCUUACUUGAUUUCAGAGUAAUUGAGCUCUGGUCCCUAUAUUAGCUUACCGACAAAGUAUAUUGAUCUCUGAUGAUCCCUCUCUUCCCUGAUCAGCACUGAACUUAAGGAUUCUACUCCGACCGCGAUAUAUAGGUAAAGUACUUCUCUGGGUGCUGAUUUUGUGAGGAUGGGCAUCUCUGAUAAAUACGUUUUCAACUUCUCAACAACGUUUUGGCAAUUAGUUGUCCAUUCGAAGUUAGAUCAUUUUCUCAAGAUUUGAAAAAAUGGAGACUCUGAUAUGCUGAACGAGAAAUGAAUCUCCCCAGAGUUGUGAUCCUUCCAUUCAGAGUCUGGACUUCCCUGAUGUUCCGCGGCGGCGUCAUAUUCAUGAUGGCAUGUGUUUUAUCCUUAUUCACUUCAAUCCCCUGAGGUGUGACCUGAUAUCCCAAGAAUUUUCCUGUUUUGACCUCGAACGUGCACUUGUUGGGGUGUAACAUUAACUUGUUUCUGCGUAUUACAUCGAAGACUUCAUCCAAAUUAUGCGGGUGUGAGGCCGCUAUUCUGCUCUAGACCAUCAUGUCAUCCACGUAAACUAACAUAAUACGUCCAAUUUAUCCCGCAAAAAUAUUGUCCAUCAUGCGCUGAUAUGUUACCCCCGCAUUCUUGAGACCACAAGGCAUUCUGACCCAUCCAAACACACCAGCACAGACGACAAAUGCGGUUUUAGCUAUAUCGUCUGGGUGCAUACUAAUUUGAUGGUAUCCCUGGUAGGCAUCCAUCAUGGAGAGUAAUUCACAACCAGCGGUGGAGUCCACUAGUUGAUCUAUCCGAGGUAGGUGAUAACAGUCUUUUGGGCAAGCCACAUUCAAAUCUCUGUAAUCUACACACAUACGCCAUGUUUUUUUUCCUUUUUCUCAACCAUCACUGCAUUGGACAACCAUACUGGAUAUUGGACCUCCGCUAUGUGCCCCGCCUUCAACAGAGGUUGUAUCUGUUCCCGGAUGGCCGCAUCCUUCUCUGGCCCGAAGUGUCGUGUCUUUUGUAUUAUGGGUUUGGUGGCUGGAUCUACGUUUAAAUGGUGUUCUUCCAAUGUCCGGUCGAUCCCCUUCAGAUCUGCAGUGGAAAAAGCGAAUACAUUUGCGUUUCGCCAUAAGCAUUUUAUUACUUAUCUCCCCAGAGUUGGUUCCAUCUCUGUACCCACUUUGGUGGUGAAACCCGUUUUCCCUGUAAAUAAUUCCACUAGCAUACAGUGGUAAUUGGUUACUAUCAUAGGCUGCUUAUCUUGAUUUCUUUUGACCUCCUCUGUCUCUGCUCGUUUUGCUGAAUUUCCCGAUCUGGCAUUAAAAUUUCUGGUAAGGUUUGCUCCCGAGUAUUUCAUCUCUUCUCGUGGUCGCUUUCGUGAAGCUUGGGACGUCAGGCUACGAAUAUGGCACUCCUUAGAUACAAUCUGGUUCCCACAUACUUCUCCCACUCUCCCCCCUUCCAAAGAAAAUUUCAUCUUCAGAUGAUACAUUGAAAUUACAGCUUGGAAAACAUUCAGAGCGGGACGCCCCACGAUUAUGUUAUAACAUGGUUUUGGAAAGUCAAUCACGAGAAAACGUAAGAUCUGAGUUCUAGAUGCUUCUGCUUGCCCCCACAUCAUGGGUAAUUCUAUCGAUCCCACAUGGGUAAUUGAUUCCCUCGUGAAUCUAUAAAGGGAAGCUCUCGCUAGCUUUAGAGUUGUGUUUAAAGCCACAGCCACCAAGCAUUCCUUGUAUAUAAUAUUGACUGCGCUUCCGAUGUACUGUGCAAUUGGCUACCUCUGCCGAAAAUACUAUGGCAUCACUAUGUGGAUGUACAAUAUUUCUCAGAUCAGCAGGUCCAAAAGAUAUAUACGGCUCCUUGUAAUCAUAACGUAUGGACAUCACCUGUGAGGAGUACAGGCCUGCCUUAGCAGCUCUGAUAAUCUAUUUUUUCGCUCGGUUGGAUGUGGGGCCAUCCUCUUCCCCUAUGAUCAUAUGUACUAUUCUCAUUUCCUCUGGCGGGGGAUUUUCAGUUCUGUUCCCACGUUCUGCCCCUUGGCGUUGCCCUUCCUGUUUACCCUUUUCUAUGGGUGGAGGUGUCUGUUUCACAAAUCGAUCCAAUCUCCACUGCCUUAUUAAUAUUUCUAUCUGUUGUUUGAGGUUAUGGCAAUAUUGUGUUGGGUGACCAUAAGCAUUAUGAUAGAGACAUAGUAGGUUGUUAGGCCCCGGCUUGGGCUGUCCUCUUUCAUAUCCUUGGGGUGCACGAAACUAUGGCUCCCCUUUGACUAUGUCGAAGAUCUUCUCUUACGGAGUAUUUAAAGGGGGUAAAAUCAGUGAAUUAAUUCACGGCGUUCACCGCUUGUUGUGGUGCUUGAGCCUCCUUAGCUCUGAAAGGGAACCUGAGAGGUAGUCCCCUGAAUGUCGUUUGAUUGGAUCGAUCGUAUUGUCUGGUCUCAGUCUGCUCUACUCUGACCUCUGGUCUUUUAGGCCUGUUACGUUCAUAUUCAGCUCUGCGGGCAGCUUUGACUUUCUCCAAUUGAAUAUAUCCGGGCAACUUAGCCAUUAUCUCAUCGAAAUUAGAGGGUGGGUGAAUCUGUAAUUCCUCAAAGAAUGUGCACUGUUUUAGUCCUGUAACGAAGGCAUAACCUUUGAUCUGUGAUUCAGCUCUGGGCACCGCCAGGGAAGCCAUAGUGAACCUUGUCGUGUACUCCUUCUGUGUUUCAGUUGGUUCUUGCUUUAUUUCCAUCAUAGACAUUGCUGUUUUCAUUGUCCGCUUCGAGAUAGCGAACUGACACAUGAAAAGAUCAUGAAACUCCUCAAAAGAAUAAAUAGAUCCCGGAUCGAGUGUUCGGAACCAUUGUUGGGCCAGACCUAUUAGCGUGGUAGAGAAGAUACGACAUUUGAUUCCCUCAGAAUAUUGGUGGAGCAUUACCAUAGUUUCAAAUCUGGCCAUGUGCACCUCUGGAUUCUCAACCAUCAUAUUCCAUGUUAAUUGGUUUAAAAAGGGCUAGACUGGAGGCGUGGAAUGUAAGCUCGACUUCCUGUCGCUCGCUUGUUCUUCUGUCGAUCUCCACACCGUGAUCGGGAAAUGUUUGCUCUACUCUCACUAGGAUGGGAGGAGUGGAUCCACUCAUCUCCUUCCUCCUGAAUGUCUUCCUCCUCCUCUCUUUGUCGUGGUCCACCAUAAGAAAAUUUCCAUUUUCUUGGAACCAGUAGCUUUGCUCUUGCCGUUUUCCUUCACUCCUCUGGCGAUUUCAGCUUGACGCUCGUUUCCUCCUAUCACCGCUUCUAACUCUUGAAUAUAUUUUUGCAUGAGAUGAACUUUUUCUUUCAGCAGCUCUAGAUCUUCAAGAGAUGGUUUCUUGGUCUGGUGCUCUACUCUGUGAGAGGUUUUACUCGAAGUAUCCUCCACAUCCUUGAUGUUGUCCAUGUCCCUUGGGAACAAGGGCCCCAUUUGCCUAAAACGCCUCGGAAUGUCAGAGCUGUUCAGAUUAUGUCCUUCCCUAGCUGGUUGCGGGGCAGUUCCCAGACUUCCUGUAUAUUGAGGCUGCAACCAUGAUGUUUGUAAAGCCCCAGGAGUAAUCGGGGUAAACGGGACCCCCAACAUUUGUUGAGUAGCGAUAGCAGUUGCUCUGGCAUAGUGACAUUAAUUAAACCUUGUCCCGACGAGAAAGAUCCUGCUAACGACAACCCUGUGUUAACCUGCAUCGGAGUAGAGUGUAUUGGCUCUGUUGCCCUUAGUGGCGUUGACUCAACAGAGUGAGCUCUCUUAUCACUUCCUGUCAGAUUGGGAUUGGUAUUGCAAGCUUCCUUUCUGAAAUCCUCAUUAAGGUUCCUUGAGAUGGUAGCAUUCUUCGUUUCCUGAUAUAUCAAAACAGAUUGUAAGUGUAUCCAUCACAUAAAAUCAUGAAAACGCUCAAACGUGAAUCACGUCUGACAGAUCAUGAGAUGAACGUUUUAUCAACUGGGGAAAAGAGGAAAAAGAACAUAAAAACCAGAUUUCUAUCUUCUUGAGAAAUUUCUUUCCAAAAUUUAUGCGUUAACUCUGAAGAGGCCAAAUAAUGCUUUUAAACAUAAGGACAUCUCGAUUUGCUCCAUUAUUUUUAGGUUUAAACAUAAGCACCAGGGUAUGUGGUGUUGUAUCAUUCCAGACCUAGAUCAUCAAAUGAUCCUUUGGCACGAGGAAGGUUUUCCAGCCUAUAUACCACUUCACAUAUAUUAGCAAUCUUUAGAUCGAUGUUCAUUUUUCCAUAAAACAAGCAUAUCCCUCAAAUCACCGCAUAUAUUUCAUUACCACCCAGAAAAUACGCAGACAAAACGAUUAUCACAAUGAGAACACAUAAUUUCGGAGCAAAAACGAUAUUUAAACACCGCACUAGCGAUUUCUAUCCAUGAGUGGCUCAAUUUCUCCAUUAUGACAUAGAUCACUUAGUUUGUACAAGUUUUUUUUUCAAUCCUAUUCGCCUUCUGAUCCGGAAUACUACCUCGAAGAUGGAAAACUUUGACGAGUAUUUCGGAAAAACGAAAUCGCUCAUUAUUUCCUCACGUCUUAGACUCAGUUUCCCACAUACGGGGCCUGUUGAUGAGUUCAAGAUUAAGCCUAGAUGAUUCUAUGAUGGAAGAUCUCUUGGAUUCACCUGAAUUCUCAUAGCUAAGAGAGAAACAUCAAAAACUUGAGUAUGUGGAAUAUCGUGUGUAUAUUAUUAUGAGGAUGAACUAUUUAUAGAGGUUAUAAGAAGGGUAUUACCGUAAUUCUACACUAAUACACGCGUUCCGCGCACUAACUACCUGAACCUAGACUGAUAUAUCCUAAAAAGGUGUCGAAUUUUUUGUUGGAAUAUUGUCUCUAACACCAGCUCUGUAACCGCUUCUCUGGCUUGGUCAGAAACCGCUUCUCUGGUGGCUUCUCCUCUAGCUUGGUCUGGAUCCACUUCUCUGGUAGCUGCUACUCUGGCAGGUUUGUCUGGAGACUUCUUCUCUGGCGUUCCCAGGACAAGGUUAUCUUGAGCUCGCCUUGAUCUGGUUUGGUUUGAUCUGGUCUGGUUUGGCUUUCCGUGAUACUCGGGUCCAUCUAAAUAAGUUACGUGUCAUGAUCUUAGGAAAGUGCAUAUUUUACUCCUCAUCAAUAUAGUAAAAUGAGAUCUUCCAUCCCACAAUUUACUUUGUUUCAUUCUUAAUUUCGCUAAUUUAUAAUUAGUUGUUAAAAAAUUAAAAUUAAAAAAAAUUAUAUAUCCUAAUUUUGAAUUAAUCAAUUGAAAUCACAUUAGAAUAUAAUAAACUAAUAUUGAAAAAAAAUUAUAAUAAAUUACGAGUGAGACACAAUGGGACACACUGUAAAUUGUGGGAUAGGAUCUCAUUUUUAUAUUAAUAAUAGUAGAUUAUUUAUCUACUAAUACAUAUAUAUAUAUAUAUAUAUAUAUAUAUAUAUAUAUAUAUAUAGGGAGAGGUUCAAAUAAGAACCACUAAUAAAAUAAGAACGGAGAACCAUUUUAAGCCAUUCGAUCAUCAAGAUCUACGGUGGAUGCAUCAUCUUGGUGGAUGGAUGCAGGUGCUGGGUUCGAAUCCUGAAGGGAGCAAAAAAUUAUUUUUUCGGAUGCAUUAAAUUUAAUAGCGGAUGCAUUAAUUUGUAUAGCAGAUGCAGUAAUUUUAUUGGUUCUUAUGUUCUCACGAUAAUUGUGGUUCUCACUAUAACAGCACCCUAUAUAUAUAUUAUAGAAAUAUAGUUCUAACAAUAACUUUUUCCAUAAAUUUAUCUUUUCUUAUUCUUUUCUAAAAAUUGUCAAAUUUAAUUUAUGAAAAAAUAUUUAGUAUUCAUCUUAACUUAAAAACCAUGUUAAGAUCUUUAAUUUGGUAUAACAAUUAUAAAUACAUAAAUUUUAGAAUGAAUAUUCAUCUACAAAAUUAUAUUAAUUUUAAAAGUAUAAUUUGUAUUAAUUUUAAUAUAAAUUUUUAGAUGAAUACUUAGUUAUAUAUCUAACAAUAGAAUUUCUUAUAUGAUUUAAAUUUAUUGAAUUUGUAAUGUUUAUGUACGAAUAAUAUAUUUAUUUAUAUAGACAUAUCUGAUAUUUAUAUAGAUUAAAAAUGAAACUUUAAAUAUGGUUUACAUUUAUUUAGUUUUAAUUUUUCAAAUUCUUCACUACAUGUUAAAUUUUAAUAUAAAACUGAAAUAAUUAUAUGAUAUAAUAACUAUUUUACUUUUAGUUAGAUGCAAAAUUUACUGACUAUUGUAAUAUGCAACAAUUGAUUUGUACAUAAAAAAAAUCUUAAAUUGAGUUACGGUUAUCGUAAUUCUAUUUUUUUUCAUUAUAAUGUAAUUAUUAUUUUACAGUACUUAUUAAAUUUAAUAUUAUACUCAUUGAGUUGAUAAUAUUGUUAUUAUAGACUACUUCGAUUAAAAUAAUAUAGUUAACAAAAAUUAUUUUUUGUUGUCAAUUAAACUAAUUAUAAAAUAUUUAAUAUGUAUAUCAAAUUAAAGAUCACGAUAAGAGAUUUAAUUUGAUAUAUUUUAUGUAAUUAUCCGAUUUAAAAUGUAAAAGAUAUAUUUAUUGAAAGAUUAGAAUUAAAAAAAUUCUCUCUCAUCUCUCAUCUUUUUUUGAAUAAAUUUAUUUUUCCAAAAAUUUUAUUUUCGUUUUAAAUAUUUUUUUUGCUUUUUCGUCAUAUCAAUUUUUAUUAUUGUGAAGUAUUCUUUAUUUUGUUAUUUUUUUAAUAUUAAGCUCAAAUAUAUUUAGUUAAAAUUAAUUUUAUUAUAUUUAUAAAUAUAAUAAUUGAAUUGGUAUCAAUUGUAUAUAAAUAUAAAAAUAUAAAAAUGUUUCCCGUGCAUCGCACGGGGUGCAAAUACUAGUAUGUAUAUAUAUAUAAAUUCAGAGUGAAAGAUUAGGUUAACUAUUAAUUAUACUAUUAACUAUGUCAAUAAAUUGAUUGAUAGGGACCCCUAAUCCCCUAUUAAUACCAAAUCAUGAAGUCUGCCUACUUUAUAUCGCUUUCUUCAAAAUAAUAUUUCAGUGCUUUAAUCAGAUAAUAGGUUUGGUCACCCAAUGAAACAAUUUGCAUAUAUAAUUUUCUUGAUCUUAUCGGAAAUUGGCACUACAUGAUUGAGCAUUUCUUGCAUCUAUGCAUUGACACACAGAGAGAGAGAGAGAGAGAGAGUGUGUACAUCAAUUAAUUAAACUUGAAAUUCAAACAUGCCUGAAGCAGAAAAACAAACUAUCUAAAAUCCAAGCAAGAGACUAAUAGAUGACUGAAACACACUUAGACAAUAGUUUUGACCUGAAUGGACUGAAACACAGUUUGCGUUGUGGAGGUGGGAAUGAUGUCGGAGACGACGAGCACCGUAUCUCCAUUCUUGAUCAACCCUUUGGUCUUCAAAAGAUUGACAGAUGUGGUGAUGUUAGCUUCCAUAUCAUCUGAAAGAUCCACCAGAAGUGGAGUGACUCCCCAGUGUAGAUUGAGGGCCAUCCUCGUGCUGCUGUCGUUUGUGAAGGCGAAUAUGGGAGGAUUUGGACGGUUGCGUGAGAUCACUGAUGCCAUGCGACCGUGCCUUGUGUACACGAAAAUAGCAUCUAUCCCCAAGUUGUUUGCUGCAAUCAAAACAAAAGCAUGUAACCAUUGCAAGUUGAGAUAUUGAUCAUAUGGGGAUUGGAUUUGGCAGCAAACAUACCCAUCGCUGCAGCAGAAUUGCAGAUUUGCUCAGCAAUUUGGUCUGGCAAAGAUGCUCCGAGGUUAUGCUGUAACAGGACGUCUUGCCUGUUCUCUUCACGACUCCACAGUUCCAUCCGACUACUGGUCAUCCGCAGCACAGACAGAGCUUUCUGCCCGAAUGGUCCAAUAGCCGACUCUCCAGAGAGCAUCAAUGCAUCAGCAUAUUGCCGAACCGCUUCUGAGACAUCAGCAACCUAUAACACAGCACAGCAGGAAACUUAUAACCAACACUAUCUAACUUUCUAGUUCAGAUUUUUUGAAAUUAUAAAUGUAACCAGCAGAGAAGUAAGUAGCCAACACAUUUAUUUUUUGAAAAUUCACAUUGUCCUUAUGGUAAAUCAAAAGGCUGUGCGUUUCUGGAAAGGCGAGACUUUUAUUUUCUAAUCAGCUAAUUAGAAAUUCGACGAGGAAAAGAAUUAGCUACCUCAGCUCUUGUUGGGGUAGGAUAUUCGACCAUCGACUCCAAAAGCUGAGAAGCUACCACCACUGGCUUGUUAAGCUGCCUGCAUAUGUAAGUGAUUUCCUCCUGUACCGUUGGAAUUUGUUCUAGUGGUAUUUCGACACCAAGGUCUCCUCUUGCUAUCAUGAUUCCAUCAGAAGCUGCAACAAUUUCGUGCAAUUUAUGAAGAGCCUCCAUACUCUCUAUCUUUGCCAAUACUUCUAUUGAUCUGUGAACAAUAAAUUCCCCAUCAUAUUCCAUACUCUAAAACACGCAAAUGGAAUCCGCGCCUAACACGCUGAUGCACAUUCAUACGAGCAAGGACAAGUUACUUACUUGGAGGAUUUGGUGGCAAUGUAGUUCUUCAGAUGUGUGACAGCAUCAGCAUCAUUCACAAAUGACAUAGCAAUAAAAUCAACACCUUCAGAAAUCCCAAAAUCUAUGUCGGACCAAUCCUGAUAAAUGAAGCAGAUAUAUUCAGACUGAGAUAGAUACUUCUAUAAACCUUCAUUCAAGCAAGUCAAGAAACAAAGUAUUAGUGCUGAGGAAUAGUUUCACUUCUAGACUUCUAGUUUGUUCAUCAAAUCCCUUAUUCGUCGUUUUCAGUUUGUAAUGAACAAGUUUCCUAUGAUCACUAGAUCUUAUUUCCAAAAUACUUUAUUUAUAUACCAAGGCAAUGUAGAAACUAUCUGGUUAAGCAUGAAACUCAAUCAUAAGUGAUAACUACAAGUUGUGCUUCACCUUAGGUGACAGAGUAGGAAGCUGAUAACUUUUCUCGACAAGCUUUCCAUCUCUCCAAAAACUUAGUUUAGCUCGUGGCAAGAGCAAGCCAGGGUCCGUGCACUUACAACGCAGAUCAUUCCCAACCUUUUCCACCACUUCGAAGGUUGCCAUUCCUCCAUCAAAUACAAUUUCAUCGCCCACUUGUAUACCUGAAGAGUAAGAGGAUAGUCUGAAACAACAGCCAAAACAGGAACCCUUUUGUUGCUAGUAAAAGUCACCAAUCCAACUUCACAGACUAUACACAUACCUUCAGCAAAACCUUCAUAAUUUGCUUGAAUCGUAAAUGGACGCGAACCCUCAAAUUUUUCAUUGGUAAAGAACCAAAUUGAGCCAUCCUAACAAUCCAACAAAAAUUGAACACUAUCAAAAUACUAAAGUUUUCCACUUUUAUUCAACUAUAUCAGCAUUCAAAAAAUUAAUACCUCUGCUUUAACAGAGGAAGGAGCGCCAUGAUCAACCACUUGAAUCUGACUACCUUCUGUAUCAAUCAUCAAAGACACACAAAACCCCUUUUCUUCAUUCAACUUCUUAAUCUUCCUAAUCAAAUCCUGAUGCCACUCUCUAGUGUUGUGACACAUGUUGAGCCUAGCCACAUUCAUCCCUCCCAUUGCCAGCUUCUCCAGUUCAUCCGAAGAGCAACACGCGGGCCCUAUCGUGCACACGAGCUUCGUCUUCCUCAACCCCAAGAACCCCUUCUCCCUCAAUUCCACUUCUGUAACCACAUCAAACCCCAAAGCCCCUCCCAAACUCUUCGAAUCCUGACUAACCCCUGCACUCUCCACUCCCACUUGCAUCACUGCCUCUACUCUACCAAUUCUAGACUCACCAGCUCUCAACUUCCUAUAAUUAAGUGCACAAACUCCAUUCCACUUAAUUGGGACACCAAAUACACCCUUCUUGAAAUCAACAGCCCCCUCUUUCUUGAUCAUCCCACCAAACUUGGCUGCUAAAUCUCCCACAACAGCCAUGAUCUCUUAAUUCCUAUAAAUAUCAAAACUUGCUAAAUUUAAGGAAGAGCGGAAAAAACCAAAACUUGUAGCAACCAAAAAAAUCAAAACUUAUGUAAAAAUCGAAGGUCGCAUCAAUCAAGAAAAAUAGUGAACUCUAAAGGAAGAACAAGAGAUUUGUCAAGUGUUUAGGCAAAAUGGUCUUCGGUAAACCCGUCAGGAAUUCGUAUUUAAUAUGCCAAGAUUUUCGGAUUUAACAAGAAAAAUAUGCAGUUGGUUGGCUGCUGCUGCUGACAUAUAUAGUAGUAUAUGUAAUGACUAAUGUGGUACUCCCAAACCCUACAACUAAAAGAGUAGCGAAAAAUCGUAAGACUCAUUUGUUAAUUAGUACUGGUAAUUUGAAAAAGUAGGCACAGCUGAAAAGGGCGGCAUAGUGCACACAAGGGCCAGUCCAAUUUAUAACGGUCAACUGCCCUAUUGAUGAUGGCUAACGUGAGCCGUGGCGUCUCUGUCACCACACUCUGUAAUAGCGAAACGUUUUUCUCUCUUGUUUUGUCCUUUUUUCCUCCCAAAUUUCCCCUCUGCAUGGACCCCAGAUAGAAAACAGUAAAAACUAAAAAGUAAUUUGGUGGGCUUUAUUUUUUGAACAUGUAGGUGGGCUUUGUUUGUUGGAUUUUAUGGAAUACAAUAUCGUUAAACAUCUUUCUCUUGUUGUGCUUUAUUUAUUAUUAAUAUACAGUAUUAUAUAUCGUUGGGACAAAAUAAAUUUAUUAAUGUCUAGUGUCUAAAAUAAAUUUGAAUAUUGUUUCAAAAAAAAAUUGAAUAGGUUUUUACUAAUAGUAUAGUACUAGAUAAAAAUUAGCAUCCUGGCAAAAUAUGUGCUGUCCUAACCAAUGAACAAUGAGAAUGAUAAAAAAUUGCUCUAAUAAUGAUUCUGCACAUCAAAUAUCUGUUACAUUAUCAUUAACUUGUACGUCCAUCCGUGCGUUGAACGGUGAAAUCGAAAUUAAACGAUAUGUUAAAUAAAUAAAUAUAAAUAUUAAACAUAAAUAAAAUUUAAUAAAUGCAAAUUUUAGUUUAAAAAUAAAAUAUUAAUUACUCAAUAAACUUUCGAAUUUAAAAACAUAAUUUUCAAUUAUGUAUAAGUGUAAUGAUAAUUAUGGUUAUUAAAUUAUUUUAAAUUAUUUGAUAAUGAAAAUCAAUAUAUUACACAAUAUUUGGUCACUAAUUGAAAAAAAUACAAAUUUUGGUCAUUUUUAUGUGUAAAGACUGUUUUGCCCUUAAUUAGGGCGGACCAGAUUCGGGUUUACGUGCGGGUUAGGCACAUAUGGCACUAUUAGUGCCAUAUGUGCCAACCGAAAAAAAAAAUCUAAGUAUAUGUCACUAAUGACACUAAUAUGGUCAUAAGUACCAUUCGUGCAACACUACAUAACAUAGUAUAUGGCACUAAUGGCACUAAUAUGGUCAUAAGUACCAUUCGUGCAACACAUUAAAUGGAGAAUCGAAACCCUAAAUGAUAAUUUAAACCCUAUGGGAAAGUGUUCAAAAUGACACUAAUGACACUAAUAUGACAAGUACCAUUCGUGCAACACUGAGUAUAUGUCACUAAUGACACUAAUAGUGUCAUAUGUGUCUAACCCGCGCGCAAAUCCGAAUUCAACCCGAAUCUGGUCCGCCCUAUUUAAGGGCAAAAUAGCCCGAAAACGUAAAAAAUGACCAAAAGUUGUGUUCUUUCAGUUAGUGGUCAAAUAUUAUGUUUGCAUCUUCAAAAUGGUCAUAUGAAUAUAUUGUUUCUUAUUAUUAUAGAUCAUAAUAAUAAUAAUAAUAAUAAUAAUAAUAAUAAUAAUAAUAAUAAUAAUAAUAAAGAAAUAAUAAUAUUUUCAUACACAAACAUAAAUAAAAAGUUGAAAAUUUUUAACGAAGAGAAAGAAAAUAAAAUAUUUUAAAUUUUAAUAACCUAUUCAUUUUAAAUUCAUUUUUUAUGAUUUUUAUACCAUACAUUAAAGAUCUUCUUACGAACUUAAACUUAAGGUGCACAUUGAAUAUUUUUUUUAUAAAUUAAAUUUGACGAUGUUUAAAAAAGAGUUAAAAUUAUAAAAAGAAAAGAAAAUAAAUAGUAAAAAAAUUGAUGGGAGAAGAGAGAAAAAAAAGAGGAAAAAAUGGAGGGAGAAGACUCCUCUUUUAUAUAUUAUAGAUUAUAGAUUAGCUAGGGAUGUCAAUCCAGCCCAAAAUCCGUGGGCCGACCCCAGUAACCCGAUAAAAUUAUAGAGUUAUGGUUGAAAAAUCGCAACCCGAUUAUAAAUCGGGCUAGCCCGUUCGGGUUGGCGGGUUGAAGCGGGUCAGCCCAUCGGGCUGGCAGGCCAACCCAUUGGGCUACUGUUUUUUUUUUUUUUCAAUUGAAGUUUAAAAUACUUUAGAGUUUAGGCCUUUAAGGUUUGGCCUUGAAACCGAAUUUUUUCAGCCUCACUAGUCACUAGCGCGCCUCCACCCUCACUUCAAACAUUCUUCCUCUACCGCUGACCGAUCUACCACCUGCAGCCACACCGCCGCGCCUCCCUCCCCUNCCGAAACCCGGACGUUAGGGUUAUAGUUGAAGAUUUACACCCGAAAAAAUACUCCAGCCCGAUUAACCUGCACCCGAUUAACCCGAAAUCGAAAAUUCGGUGAGCUGACCCAAUUGACAUCUCUAUUAUAGAUAGAUGAACGCACACAACUCUUCAACAAAAAUAGAUACACCUCAACUUUGCAUUCCAAACUAUCCCAAACCAAAAAUCACAUUUAAAGUAUUGAAUUUUUUCCGAGCAUGCUAGUUUCAUUUUCCUUUGAGUCCUACAAAGUCCAAAACAUAAUUAAUUCGUCGAAAUUCCGGGUGUAUUGUUGGAGCAAUUUAAGUUGCAAGUCAUUGUAUUUUAUAGGCAAUUGUCCUCAACUAUUUAAACUAUUUACAAAGUAUUUUUGUUUCAUAGAGAAAAAUCCAACUCUUAUCGCUAAUUGCAUUUUUAUACUUUCAUUAGAGCAUCAGCAGUGAGGAUGACAUGAUAGAUGACCUAAUAGAGGAGGGACCACAUUGUAUCAAUGAGGUUGCACUGGGAUGACAUGAUAGCUGACCUGAUCUUUUUAAUUUUAAUUUUUAUAUUUUUUAUUUAAUUUUAAUUGCACAAUUAUUAGUGUGAUAAAUCCCAAAUACCAAUAAUUAGGAAAAGCGUGGAGGCAAAAUACAAUUAAAUUAAAAUAUUUAAGUAAACAUAUAGAAUCAAAUGUAGUUGUAAAAAAAAUAAAAAUAAAAGUAAAAGUAAAAGUAAAAAUAAAUAAAAAUUGGAACUCGAAAACGGAAUAAUUUGAUUGGUAUCUUAAUUAAAAACUAAAAUUAAAGGAACUGAAUAGGCUGUUGCUCAAGCCUCAAGGCAUAAACAACGAAAAAUAAUAGAAUUCGAUUUUUUUUAAUUAGUGCGUGAAACGCACGUGCAUGAAAUUAAGAAGAUCAGGCCUCACCUGAUAAAUCGGGUUGGCCUCGAGUCAAGAGGGAUGCAGUAGUGGGAGACCUGAUACAGUGGAUGACUCGAGUACCCCACUGUGAGUGCUCUUAUAACUUUUCGAAGAAAAAAUGAAAUAAUUACUAAUUAGCUUUUGUUGUUAUGCUCUAGCUAUUUGUCGAGAGUGAUUGAAAUUUCGUUAGGCUGACUCAUGUUAGUCUAAACGAAGCUAGUUGAAGUUGACAACAAUGACGAUCAAAUGAAUAAAUAUUUAUUUGCAAUACUGAUUUUUGUUAAUUGUUUCUUUUUUCUUUUUCUUUUUAUUGAGAAAGAGAGAGAAAAAAUUAUUAGUUUUCUGAAUAUCGUUAUUCAACAUUAUGUACUGCCUUAUUCGACAUUAUAUAUUGCCUUAUUCAUUAGUCUUACGAUUUUCAGCAUUAUGUACUUCUUAAAAUAUAAAAUACAAACAAUAUUAAGCCCUUAGAUAAUCAAGAUCUACGGUUGAUUCGUAACCAUAUUUGAUGAAUUUGUGGUCCUGAGUUCGAAUCUCAAAAGUAACAAAAAUUUAUUUUUCACAAUUCAUAACCCUGUUGGAUGAAUUCAUAUGUGUUAUACAUAAAAUUUGUACAUUGAAAAAUGUUUUUAUUUUUAUUUUAAGAAGUGUUUUCACGAUAGCCCUUCUCCCCCCUAUAUAUAUAUAUAUGGUGUGGUUCUAGAGAGAACUACAUUAUUUGUGAGAACGUNNNNNNNNNNNNNNNNNNNNNNNNNNNNNNNNNNNNNNNUUCUUAAGAUAUAAAAUAAGAAUUAUUUUUAGCCCUUAGAUCAUCAAGAUCUACGGUUGAUUCGUAAUCCUGUUGGAUGGAUUUAUGGUCCUGAGUUCGAAUCCCAAAGGUAGCAAAAAUUUAUUUUUCACAAUUCAUACCUUUAUACAGCAAAUUCAUACGUGUUCUACAUAAAAUUCAUACAUUAAAAAUUGCUCUUAUUUCUUAUUUUAAGAUGUGCUCUCACGGUAGCCCACCCCUAUAUAUAUAUAUAUAGGGUGUGGUUCUAGAGAGAACUACAUUAUUUGUGAGAACGGGAGAACCAUCAAAUCUAAUGCAUUCACUGUAAAAAUUAAUGCAUCCGCUGUUAAAAUUAAUGCACUCAAAAAAUAAAAAAAAAUGCUCCCUUCAGGAUUCGAACCCAGGAUCUGCAUUCAUCCAACAAGAUGAUGCAUCCACCGUAGAUCUUGAUGAUCGAAUGGCUGAAAAUGGUUCUCCGGUCUUCUUUUAUUUAUGGUUCUUUCUUGUAACCUCUCCUACUAUAUAUAUAUAUAUAUAUAUAUAUAUAUAUAUAUAAUAUUGAUAGGUUCGAAAAGAAUCGAGUCCAAAAACAAGAAAAAAAUUAAAAGUUUGAUGAGAAAGAAAGAGUUUAUACUUUUGUGUUUAUUUUUGAAUGAAGGAUAAUGAAUGAUCUUUACAUUUGAAUAUUUUCUCACUAUUUAUACUCUAACUCCUAAACCAAGCUAAGCCCUAAUACCAAAGGCCUAUUAGUAUGGGUCCUUUGGCCAAAGCCUCGUUAAAACAUUUCAGACGAAAACUCAGUGUGUUGAGUAGGGUUUAAAUCUCAACAACUAGAAAAUAAACAAAACGAUAAAAGAUACCAAGUUUUACGUGAUUUGAUUAUGAAGAUCUACAUCCACGAAAGUGAUGAAUUAUCAUCUAACAAAUUUAUAAAUGUUGAGGAAAAAUAGAGUUUUAACCUGAGUAUGUAUGAUCGGAAAUAAAUCGGAGACAACGAAGAACUUAAAGCGCAAGAAAAUAUGAACACAUUACAAAAUCUUUCUCUCCAAGUAAAAGUUGUAUAUUGAUUGAUCUCUCAAAAAUAAGUACAAUGCGUUAUUUAUACUAGAAAUACAAAUGGUACAAUUGUAAUUUUUAUGAAUACUCACGUACACUGCAUGACAUCUAACUAACUACAUUCUUCAAGAGCACUAAUAAAACCGAAUUGGUCAGCUUUUGUCGGGUGUCGUUAUCUUUGCAAUGGUGAUCCGCGGUUGUGUAGUGAUUAGGCUAGUGUUGGCGUGGUCAAGCUCUUGACUUCCAUGUUGGCUCCUCAUCUUCAUAUAAGUGGUCAGUUGGCGUUGGUAUUUCUUCAUUGCAAUAUCCAUAUUUUCCCUAAGGAUCUAAUCUCUCAUUUUUUCCAAGUCAAAGUUAAUACCAAUUUCCACGUUUCCUAGAGGUCAGCCAGCAUGGAUUUUCUCCCUUGCUAAGGUCAUCUAGCGUGGGGUAUUUUCACCCUUGCUAGAGUCAGUCAGUGUUGGCUUUUUCCUUUGCUAGAGAUAAGCUAGCGUGGGCUUUUUUCCUUGCUAGAGUCCAGAGACAAACUAGCGUUGGCUUUUUCCUUUGUUAGAGAUAAACUAGCGUUGCCUUUUUCCUUUGUUAGAGAUAAACUAGCGUUGGCUUUUUCCUUUGCUAGAAUCGGCUAGCAUGGGCCUUUUCCAUUGCUAGAAGUGAGCUAGCGUGAGUAUUUUCCACUGCUGAAGGUUAACUAGCAUGGGUGUUUUUCAUUGCUGGAGGUUAGCUAGCGUGGGUAUUUUCCAUUGCUGGAGAAUAGCUAGCGUUGGCUAUUUUUAAUUAUUCUAUCAUUGUUACUUCAACAUCUCUCGAUGAUAGACUUAUAUAUAAGAGUGAGUAUAAUUCGACUAUUCUUUUUAUAAAAGAGUAUUAUCAGUAUGAUGUAUAGAGAUUAUCGGAAUUUUCACUAUAUUUAGACAGUUACAUUUUACACAUUGAAAAAAGAAUAAAAUGAAAGAGAGCCCCCUAACUCAUAACCAAAUGUGCUAUUUAUAAGUGUAAAAUUAAACCUAAAACACUUGGGCCUAUUUAACCCAAAAGCCCAAUAAUACAAGUUCUUCUGCCUAAACCCACUAAUUUGAUCCGUAUCUUCAAUAUUCCUUUAACUCUGACUUGCAUGUUCAGAUUUGGCCUUUCUCUUUCUUUAGAUUUAACACAACUCUUAAUUAUAAUACUCAACUUUGUUGGAUUUAGCUUUAUAAUUGCUUCGGAAUUUGCCCAACGCGACUUUUGAACCUGCGACAAUAUCAAAAUAAUACAAAUAUAAUAGUUUAAUUUUAGUUAUGUAUUGCUUAUUUUCGGGCCUUUCUUUAUAAGAGCAGGAAUGCCUAAUUCCAUCCUCAUCACAGUGGGAAAAAAAAUACUUGUCUAAAUAAAAGAGUUAAAAAUAGGGCUAACAAAUACGUGCGUGUCGGAUCGUUAUCGGGGUCGACCUGAUAAGACCAAACCUGAACACGCCCUGUUAAGGAAGUGCUCGACACGAAUACAAACCCGACACGAUUUACUCAAACCCGAACACGAUACGAAUCGGACACAAAUACGAUAAUAACACGAUUUGAAUCAUGUUGACAUACGCUAACGAUACGAUCUGAUUAAAACUUGAUUAAACACGAAACCUUAAAGGCUAAAGUGUAUAAAGAAUUAAAAAUUUAAAAUAAAUAUUUAAUAAAAAUAAUAUUAUUUCUAUCAGGUUGUACGAACUUGACAUGGAAUUAUCAAGUCGACACUAUAAGGACACGAAUCUGAUAAGGCUUGAUACUAAUUCAUUAAUUUCAUGCGGUUUCGUAUCGUGAUUUCGUAGCGUGUCGAAAAUUAUCAACCCUAGUUUAAAAUACAUAUAUCUUCUAACUUUCAGAUAUGAAACUAACACGUACCCAGAUCCAUACGCGCUAAAGUUCUAGUAACCUUGAUGCUAAACAUCCAAGUAGUAUACCCAAGCUGUUUGAUUUCCUCCUCUAAGUCAAAAUAACCAAACCUAUCCUUAUCUAAACCGAAUUUCCCCAAAACUUCACCACCUGAGUACAAUNGAGUGGAGAGGGGGAGAGAUGAAGCUAGUCCAGGAGGCGGCUGGAAUGGGAAACAGAGGGUAGUCGAGAGAGAUGAGGGAGGCGGCGGCGUGGCCGGCGGCGGCUACCGCCGCAGGGAAGAAGAGAGAGGUGGUGGUCGGAGGAGGAGGAGGAGGAAGAGGAAGGUGGGACCCACUACAAAAUAAAAGAAAAAAAUAAAAAAAAUUCAAGGAAACGGUGUUAGACGUCCGUUUUCUUCGUGGAUUAAGUUGCAUAUUUUUUAUGUACUAUAGGGGAGGUAUUUGCACCAAAGUCGAGUGUGGGGGGCUAAACGCUCUAGGGGGGUCUACUUUAAGGACUAAUCUGCACCUUUACCCUAAAUUAAAUUUGACGAUGUUUGAAGAAGAGUUAAAUAAUAAAUAAAAAAAAGAAAAAAAAUGAUGGGAGAAAAGAGAAAAAAAAAAUGGAGGGAAAAAUGGAGGGAGAAUACUCAUCUUUUAUAUAUUAUAGAUUAGCUAGGGAUGUCAAUCCAGCCCAAAACCCGUGGGCCGACCCCAGUAACCCGAUAAAAUUAGAGAGUUAUGGUUGAAAAAUCGCAACCCGAUUAUAAAUCGGGCUAGCCCGUUCGGGUUGGCGGGUUGAAGUGGGUCAGCCCAUUGGGCUACUGUUUUUUUUUUUUUCAAUUGAAGUUUAAAAUACUUUAGAGUUUAGGCCUUUAAGGUUUGGCCUGAAACCGAAAUUUUUUCAGCCUCACUAGUCACUAGCGUGCCUCCACCCUCACUUCAAACAUUCUUCCUCUACCGCUGACCGAUCUACCACCUCCAGCCACACCGCCGCGCCUCCCUCCCCUCCGGCGCAUCCACUCCCACCGGGCAACAGUGCGGCCGCACCUCUUUAUAUAUUAAAGAUAUAAAAUUUAUAUCUUUAAUAUCUAUGUAUAUUUUAUACAUUUUGCAUUAGAUCAUUAAGAAUAAUAAAAUACAAAUGAUAAUUUUAUUUUUACGCCUAUAACCUGGUUAGCCCGAUGGGCUAGCCCGAAACCCGGACGUUUAGGGUUAUAGUUGAAGAUUUACAACCCGAAAAAAUCUCCAGCCCGAUUAACCUGCACCCGAUUAACCCGAAAUCGAAAAUUCGGUGAGCUGACCCAAUUGACAUCUCUAUUAUAGAUAGAUGAACGCACACAACUCUUCAACAAAAAUAGAUACACCUCAACUUUGCAUUCCAAACUAUCCCAAACCAAAAAUCACAUUUAAAGUAUUGAAAAUUUUCCGAGCAUGCUAGUUUCAUUUUCCUUUGAGUCCUACAAAGUCCAAAACAUAAUUAAUUCGUCGAAAUUCCGGGUGUAUUGUUGGAGCAAUUUAAGUUGCAAGUCAUUGUAUUUUAUAGGCAAUUGUCCUCAACUAUUUAAACUAUUUACAAACUAUAUAUAAGAGUGAGUAUAAUUCGACUAUUCUUUUAUAAAAGAGUAUUAUCAGUAUGAUGUAUAGAUAUUAUUGGAAUUUUCACUAUAUUUAGAGAGUUACAUUUUACACAUUGAAAAAAGAAUAAAAUGAAAGAGAGACCCCUAACUCAUAACCAAAUGUGCUAUUUAUAAGUGUAAAAUUAAACCUAAAGCACUUGGGCCUAUUUAACCCAAAAGCCCAAUAAUACAAGUUCUUCGGCCUAAACCCACUAAUUUGAUCCGUAUCUUCAAUAUUCCUUUAACUCUGACUUGCAUGUUCAGAUUUGGCCUUUCUCUUUCUUUAAUUAGAUUUAACACAACUCUUAAUUAUAAUACUCAACUUUGUUGGAUUUUGCUUUAUAAUUGCUUCGGAAUCUGCCCAACACGACUUUUGAACCUGCGACAAUAUCAAAAUAAUACAAAUAUAAUAGUUUAAUUUUAGUUAUGUAUUGCUUAUUUUCGGGCCUUUCUUUAUAAGAGCAGGAAUCCCUAAUUCCAUCCUCAUCACAGUGGGAAAAAAAAUACUUGAUCUAAAUAAAAGAGUUAAAAAUAGGGCUAACAAAUCGUGCGUGUCGAAUCGUUAUCGGGUCGACCUGAUAAGACCAAACCUGAACACGCCCUGUUAAGGAAGUGGUCGACACGAAUACGAACCCGACACGAUACGAAUCGGACACAAAUACGAUAAUAACACGAUUUGAAUCAUGUUGACAUACGCUAACGAUACGAUCUGAUUAAAACUUGAUUAAACACGAAACCUUAAAGGCUAAAGUGUAUAAAGAAUUAAAAAUUUAAAAUAAAUAUUUAAUAAAAAUAAUAUUAUUUCUAUCAGGUUGUACGAACUUGACAUGAAAUUAUAAAGUCGACACUAUAAGGACACGAAUCUGAUAAGGCUUGAUACUAAUUCAUUAAUUUCAUGCGGUUUCGUAUCGUGAUUUCGUAGCGUGUCGAAAAUUAUCAACCCUAGUUUAAAAUACAUAUAUCUUCUAACUUUCAGAUAUGAAACUAACACGAUAACCCAGACGCGAUAAAGCCAAUUAAAUAAUCAAAAUUGAUGAUAAAAAUCAAAUGUGAGAAAAAGCAAAGGUGAAACCCGAUAAAUAUGUUUAAAAAGAUUAGUAAAAAGAACGUACGUUAUACGUGUAAUCAAUGUUAUUUAAUUUUAAUUGGUAAUUUAUUAUUUAAAAAAAUCUAUUAAUUCAUUAUUUUUAUUAGAUAAUUUAUUGGAUGGAUAUAUUUAUUUAUAAGUCUUAUCAAUAGCUAUAGAUAUAAAGUAUUCUUUAUAGAUUUUGGGUGACAAAUAAAUGUAUAUCAAAAUAGAUUUAUAUUUUAUAAAUAUAAUAAUAAAUAUAUAAUAUGGGUAGAAUAGACAAUCUACAAGUUGUGCCUUAAACUGCCUUAAACUUUUUUUUUACUUGGGGGAGUUGGAGAGGAGGAGUAGUGAGGUUUGAACUCGAGACCUCACUGUUCACACGCAGGAGGUCGCACAAAUGGUACUCUUACCAUACCUGACCAUUAAUAUCACUUUUGAAAUGAUGGUCACUUUUGAAAAAUAGAAAAUACAUGUGGAUUGAAUUAUAUUUAUAAUACUCUCUCCGUCUCACUCCAAUAGACUCACUUCUUUUGGGCACAAAGAUUAAGAAAAUUUAGAAAAGUGGUAGUAAAGUGGUGUGGUUCACACCAAUUAAGUACAACUUUUUUUACCCAAAAAAGAAAAUGAGCCUAUUGAAGUGAGACAUCCCAAAAAGGAAAAUAAGCCUAUUGAAGCGAGACGGAGAGAGUAUCAUUUAAUUUAAUUUUUUUUCAUCGGUAUUUUAUCAUUGAGUUUUUAGUAGAAAAGUUAUAGCAAGACGUGGGCAAACAAACCUUGCUAAUGAGCCUUAAUGAUAGGUUUAUUUUGUAGGCUAUAGACAGGGACUGUGUCCCUAUGUCCAAUUAUCUUGAGCUGUUCAUGUUUUUCCCUUAUCCUAUUUGAAACCUUACGUGAAAGCAUUUCAAAUCCUAUUUCUUCUCAUUCUUUUUUUCCUUACCCCAUGUGGUUAAAAGCCACAACACGUAGUAAUAUUUAAUUUGAGCUUUAUCUAAAUAAACUCAGUUAAAUUUUGCAGGCCAAAUUCCAAUUUACCCCCACAACAUUUGGACUUUUCUCAAAGAUGAUAUGCCCCCAGUGCUCAAAUAAUUACAAUAACUUCCCAAUUGUGUUAUCUUUUUAAAAUAUAGCACCUGAAGCCUAUGUGGAAUUAAAAGUAAUGACAUUAUAAAGAAAUCAAAACCACGUCAUAAAAUAAAUGACAUGGAAGGCUUAAGUGGAGUACUUUAUUUUUGUUGUUAUUCACAUAUAGGAAUUUGAGUCUUUGACCACUAAUAAUAAGUGUUUAGAUUUUGGGGAAAGUCUAUUAAAAGAAAAAGAUUUUGGGGAAAGUAACGUGUUUCAACAGGCGUUUUUUUUUUUUUGGGUAUAAAAAAAUAAAAUUAAAGCGUUGGAUGUUAAAUGAAAUUUGACUUAUUUUUUGGUCAAUUUUGCAAAAUCCAGAAGUGAAAGGACAAAAAUGUCCGCACAAUGAGCUCCAAAUAGAAGCUUCCUACCGUUCUUCUUCACAAUAAACAUAAUCGGUGUAUACAUGCAUUCUUCCCAUGAAUCUAUAUAUUCACACACACACACACACACAGUAUAUGCUUGUAUUUAUAUAUAGCGAUUUGCACUUCACCUCUGCGCAUUGAUCCUGUCUUUUCGGUUAUUUCAAGCCCUGUCACACUGAUAGAAAAAAGUCGUAGAUAAAUAAAAAAUUUGGUGACUUUUAAAUUUUACCGACGAUUGUGGUAUAGAGGAAAAGGCCACUAACAAGGCGAGAAGGUUCAAUUUCUUCCGACCUUCGGGAAUUUUGGCGUAAAUUUGAAAUUUUGAGUGGAGCGUUUUGUUUCUUGUUUUCUUUUUGGGUAUGAAAUUGAACGGGACGAUUCUGUAUUCAUGCGUGGAUGAUGAAAAAGAAGAGGAAGAAACGGCGGAAUCGGAAACCUCGCCGCCGCCGCCGGCGAGUAUUGUAGUGGGCUAUGCUCUCACUUCAAAGAAAAAGAAGAGCUUUUUGAAGCCCAAGUUUAUUCGCUUAGCUCGGUACUCCUCCGAAAUUCCUUUUUUUUUGUUUUAUUGUUAUUCAUCUACUGGCAUGCAAUGAUCCAUCAAUCAUUUCACAUUGCGUUUUGUUUAGGUCUCUCAAAUCUUUGGCUAAUUUCCGUUUUUAUGUACUAUAUUUGCCGCCUCCGACGAUUCUUGAAAUCCUCAGUUCCAUUUCCUUUGUGAUUACGUUAACUAUUUAUGCAAAUUAACACAUGUUCUGAAGCAGGAUAAUCUUUUUAAUUUUAUCUCAGAGCAUGAUGCAUGCAAAGGUGUUCUUGGCAAUACCUUCAUAUAUAUUUGGAUUAGUGUUUUAGUUAAUUUCUUCCAUCUUGAAAUGGAUAAUUUCGCUUCAUUCGGUGCAUUUCCUUUCUUACUUUGUAAGGAAGAUUGAGAAUUAUAAUUAUGAAAGAUUCAUAUUAUUGAGUGGACAGUUUUUUGCAACUGUUUGUUUAUUGAAAUGGAUAAUUCGAUUGCAUUUCCUUUCUUACUUUGUAAGGAAGAUUGAGAAUUAUAAUUAUGAAAGAUUCAUAUUAUUGAGUGGACAGUUUUUUGCAACUGUUUGUUUAACUUAUCUAAAUCUUCAUGGUUUCAGGAGGAAUCAUAUAUGUGAAAAUUCUUCUUCAGAAGGAAUAUUCCAUUAUAUGUGCUCUUAAGAUUACAGUCAACUUAUUUAUGACCUUAAAUAUUCAAAAUCAUCUGUUGCUUUCCCACUGCAGUGGAAGAUUUGGUAUUUAAUGCUUGUCCCUAUGUAAGAAUUUAGUAGUACUCCACUGCGACGAAUUCGUUUAGUGAACCCCACUUGUUGAAUUUUGCACAACUAAAAAUGGACCGAAAAUAAAUUAUUGAUUUUUAAUGCCAAAUUUCCAUUUUGUCAUGACACAGUUAUGGUGAUGGCUGAUAUAGGCUAGAUCCAUAAGAAAAGCAUUUGAAUUUAAUUUGGCUAAAAUUUAAUGGAUUGCGAAUUCUUCUGGGGAUGAGUGCUAUAUCUUCCUUUCCAGUUUUUGCUCGAAAUAUGUCCUAAGACUUUUGCAGACCAGUCCUUGCUAAUUUAGUUUUUCCCCCUUCAUAGUAUAAUUAUCCAUUAGUUGCCUGAUUUAUAUCAAAAGUAUAGUUUGAUAUUUUUUUUGUAUGUUAUGCUAUUAAAUUAUUCUCAGCCAGAUAACUUGGAAAUUUGAGGCUACAAGUUCUGAAUGAUGAUGCUCCAUUACUCCAAAUGUCUGCUUAUUUUUUCUAACAAGCAUAAUUUUUCUGUUACUUUACUAAAAAACCCCUUAUAUGUUUUGAGGAGAUAUCAUCUAUCUUUCCUGGUCACAUAAUGGGUCACAUUUUCUAAUGCAGAAACAAGGGCAUUCAGUUUGUUCCAAUUGAUCUGAGAAGAGCUUUAUCAGAGCAAGGUCCAUUCAAUGUUGUUUUACACAAGGUUUGAGUUAUUGCAAUCAAAUUUUCAUGCUAAUUGUUUGAAAUGAUAAAACAGAUCCAAUGGUCAGUAUUGCUAUUCUGAAUGUCAACACAUAGGUAUCAGUAGUCUUUUCACCAUCACUUUAGGGAUAAAUUCUGAACCAAAUCCUUUCAACCGAAAUAUUUAGUUGAAAAUGUGCCAACAGGAUCCAGAGGUUGGUUUGCGCAACUGGAAUGAGGGUUAAAACGAAUGAAGGCUUGUUUUUUUAACGUAUUGUACUAACUAAUAAAUUUCAAAGUAUAAUAGGAUCCAAACAGAUGGAUCAUAGCUUUCCUCACUAAACCAUAGUUUUUGGAUUCAAUAAUCUCUUGACUUCAGGUCAUUCGCCCCUCUCCUUAUUCAUUUACAAGUGGCACUGUCAUUAGCCAAAAUUCUUUGAAAAUCUAAGUAUCUAACUGCAAACUUCAACAAAGAGUCUGUGGCUAUAUUCUCUCCUUCAUUGCUAACUUCAUCUUGCCUUGCUGGAUGGACCCAUUUGCCAGGUCCUAUGGUACGAAGACUUCCAGGGAUGUGCAUCUCUUUCUAGUCUUCAAAUGUAUUUUUCUGCUUGAUUUCUGUUUGUACUGGAAUCUGCAUCCAUAUGUACAGAAAAGCUAGCUCAGAUUUAUUUCUGUUACUUGACGUUACAACUAAGUAUUCCUCAUGAUAUUGAGUUUCUGACACUGAGUAGUUUGAGUAUUGACCAACAUGAACCAACCUCUUCAAUAGUUUGGAAUUAGAGUUUGUAUUUUAUUUAUUUAUUUUUGGUUUUGCUAUUUGAGAGUUGUUCUUUGUGGUUCCCUGCCAAUCUCGCAAUGAGAGAGAAAAUAAUAUAACCUAACAUACCCUAAAAUUGGAAGAACCAUAGGAGGAGGAAUGAAGAUAUCUUAAACAUACAUCUCAUUUAUUAAGACGUGUAAUUAUGUAUUGCCAUCAGAGUUUUGCAUUUAUUUUCUCAAGACACUUGGUCCACUCUGCUGAUUAAUUUACAUACUUAGUUCAAUUGUAAAUCUUGCCUUUCUUAUAUGACGAUGCUUCUCAAGCCACAUAAAAAAUAUGCAAGAUGCAUAACAUGUUACUUUGUUGCCCUCAUCUUUAUUAAUUGAUUGCACCUUUUGAUUUCAGUUAGAGGGGAAGGACUGGUCCCAGGCUAUUGAGGUUUGUGCUCCCAACUGUACACUGGUUAUUGAAUCCAAUGGUGUAAAAUGACCUUACCAGAUACUGAUGUGGAAGUUCCGCUAUGAAAACUAUGCCAUAAUCCAAAAAUUUACCUCUUUUGCUGCGAAGAUUAUAUAUUAUAUCCUAAUUCUUAGUCUCGUAGGUGAUUGUAGUGUAAAGGUGGUAGGUGGAAGUUGCAGAGAAUCUGAGGCUUAAAAACUCAUUCCUGUCUGACAUAAUUGCAGAAUUUUUGCUCUCUCCGUCAUGAUUCAUGACCAGAUAGAUGUGCUUGGUCCCUGAGGAUCGAACAAAUGAGGAUUGUUCUUUUCGGGAUCUAGUAUACUUGUGCAGGUGUAGGUCUGAUGAACUUUUGCUAUAGUGUGUAGAAAACUUCUCUUCAUUUUGGCUGAUCAUCGAUUGGGCUUAUUUAACUUUGCAUUCAAACUAAUUAAAUUAUUUGUUCAAUGUUUUCGUUCAAACAUAGUGAUUUUAAUGUCCUGUGUUGACUUGAGCUAGGUUGCUAUGUAGUCCUAAUUGGCAGUAACUUUUGAACUCCUUGCUAAUUGUGGAGAGUGCACAGAAUUCAAUAAAGUUGAAACUCGAAUGGCCAUUCUGUAAAGCCUUUAUAAAACAUGUUAUUACAAAGUUCUAGAUUUUUGUCAGACUUCAGGGAAUUAUAAGCUCUCUCUUUAGACAAAUAGGACAAGAAAACUUGUUUAUGUUACUUAUUCCUUAUCUCCGUAGAAUGUCGAGAUCAGUCACAUUCAUGCAUCUCCCUGUACAAGAGCGGAGAUGAUUGUGAACGAGUUUGAGUACUUGAAAAUCUAAAAUGGAAGUAACUAAUAAAAAAUUUGGCUUAUGGAAGUAACUACGACCUGUAUAUUUGCUUGAUGAAGUAACUAUAGAUUCAUUUCUCUCAGUAUUUGACUACAGUCUACAGUAACAAUCAAAGGAAAAGGAAAAUGUUAUAUGCGAUCUUUCUCUUGGCUUUGGAGAGAGAUCUGAGGACAAUUAAAAUAUCUUGCCAGGUUUAAUGAAAUUUGUUUCUAAUAUAUAACCAAACAUUAGAAGAAAGGUAUGUGUGUCUAAAGUAGUCGAUAGAAACAAAUCAAACCUAUGUCAAACUCAAGGUACAUAGAGAAAAUUCAUAACUGUUUCUCGUUGAACAGGCCUAUUGUAGUUUAAUGUUUAUUAAUACAGUCGCUUCCCUUGCCUGUUGUUUCAAACAGAGUGAUCUUAAGUUCCAUGCUCAACAUGUCAGUCUCUUGAACAUGGUAUGCCUUCACUUCAGCCUGCACUGAUAUUGAAGAACAAGAGAAGUGGUCAAAGGAAAAGUUUAUAGUUUUAACUCCCAGAUACUAUAUGAAUUACCUUAUGAGUAAGUCAGUAAUUUGAUACUAAUGUAGGGGGAAGGGGGCAAAAACAUUUUUAAGUUCUCCAAGGUUUUCGUUUAUGCACCUUUGAAGGCAUUUUGUUGAUCUUAUGCAUGAACCAGUUUUAUAUCAGUGAAACAGAAUGUGUUAAAUUAUUGUGAAUUUUAUUUAGAACAUAAAAUAUUAGCAACCUAGAUUUUAUAAUUUUUGUACAUUGUUCAGCAUGGAUGAAUUCUUAGCCUAGCUGGAAAACAUAAUUAAUUUACAUGCUGCAGCAUCUUUCUUUCAGUCUCAUUCUACUUCAUUUUUCCAUUGAAGGAUUAUCAGAGAUUACAUCCGGAGGUGACCGUUGUUGAUCCUCCUAGUGCCAUUCAGCAUUUACGCAACCGUCAGUCGAUGCUUGAGGUGGUUGUUGACCUGAAAUUGCCUGAAUCUUAUGGUAUUUUCUGCACCACAGUACUUUUGUCACUAUAUGAAAUGGUUUCUUAUAAUUUAGUCUGCCCUUCUCUUGCACCAUCCUUGCUAUUUUCCAAGAUGGGUCCUUUUUCUUCCCAAUCAAAUAUUAUCGCUGUCGGUUAUGAUAUAUUCUGGUAGAUGAAUUCAAGAGUAUUUGAUCCUGUACCAAUUAAAUUACAUGGUGCAUUUUGUGAAUAAUUGUGGUAGGCAAGGUUUGCACUCCAAGGCAGUUGGUGAUUCCAAAAAACCCUACUUCGGUACCAGAUGAAGUCGUUAAAGCAGGAUUAACUGUACCUCUUGGUAAUCUUAUUUUCACUUUUUGUGGGGAAACCAAUUUAAACUUGUUCUCAAAGGAAUACAGCUGGAAAAUAAACUUUUGACUCUUCCGUUUCUCUUAUUGUUAAAUGGAAGAAUGUGGGUUAGUGUUUUUGCUUCUGUGGUAUAAUUUGGCAUGCUGGGCGGUACACUACUUCCAAAGCAGGAAUUCUUCAGAUUUUGUAUAGAAUCAUCAACUCAUAAAGUUGUAUUGAGUACACACUCACAAUAAACAAAAUUCAUGAUGCUUUUCUACUUACAAUUAUAGAGUUUGUAAGUUGUGCUAUCUUGCCAGGUGAAUCACAUUCAGUUAGAUAACUAACCUGGAUAUCAUCAUGGAAAUGCUAUAAGCUAGUUAAAAAUUACACGUGGCAAUAAUAUGGAAGACAAUAUAUGUAGCUUCUCUUUCCAUGAAAAUACAUAAUUUCUCGUUAUUCAGUUUCUUUGAUGAGUUAAGCUUGUUGCUUCAUGCUCUCUGUAAUAUAUAUUUGACCUGUGUUUCAGUUGUGAAACCACUUGUAGUGGAUGGAAGUGUAAAGUCUCAUGCGCUCUUCCUUGCAUAUGAUCAUAUUUCCCUAUCUGAACUGGAAGCUCCGAUGGUUUUGCAGGAGUUCAUUAAUCACAGUAUGGAACAUUGUGUUGUUGUCAUCUGUCUUUUUUCAUUUAUUGCCUACUAAACUUAAGUUAAUGAUAUGUGUAUUCUCUAUUGUAGGUGGUGUACUCUUUAAAGUUUUUAUUGUUGGUGAGUCUAUUAAAGUUGUCAGGCGUUUCUCUCUGCCUGAUGUAACUGAAAGGGACAUAUCAAGAAUUUCUGGGGUGUUUGGCUUCCCAAGGGUUUCUGGUGCUGAUUCUUCUGCGGAUGAUGCGGAUCUGGAUCCUGCUGUUGCUGGUAAGUUUGAUUGUACCUGCAGAGGCAAAAUUUUAUUUCAUUGCUCUUCAAAUCUUAUAGGCAAAAGUUUACUCAUUCUGAAAAUCAAUAGGACGAUUGAUGAAACAAUGAAACAACUACUUUUGUUUUAUUUUCUGGUGCUUGAAACCUUGUCCCUUUAUAUUGUGGGAACUCUAGUCCUGGUUGCUUCUAUUUCUUAAUUGAAAUGAAUAACAGUUGACAAUAAUGUUUCACGUAGUUAACGUAUUUACUGCAGAGCUUCCUCCACAACCUUUGCUUGAGAUAAUUGCAAGAGAGCUCCACCAUCGACUGGUAAAAUCCAUCUUCAUUGAAAUUUGGCUUAAUCUAUUCUGUUGUUCUAUCAAUUUGGCACCAUGUUAAGGAUCAAUUUCUCAUGUGAUUGUCUGAGUUUUGUAAUAUUAGGGACUUCGGCUGUUCAAUAUAGAUAUCAUUCGCCAAAAGGGACCAAGAUCUGUAUUACAUCAUCGAUAUCAAUUACUUCCCUGGUUAGUGCCGAUUAAUUUCAGAGUUAUGCCUUUUGAUGUGGACAUUAUGGCAUUCAUAUGUUCCUCACUUUUCAACCCCUUAGAUAAUUUUUGUUGCUACACGAGUCAAAUAUGUUGGCAGUCGCUUAAUUCAUGCUGUUCACUGUUUUUGCCUCUUCUCUUGUCAUCUGUGUCACCGGAGUGGUGAAAACAGCCAACUACACUUGUGAGACAAGUUUAAACAACAAACUGCACGAGUUUUGUGUCAGAAGGCUCCUUCAUUAAUUUCAAACCUUUAUUCUCUUUCUGAAUCACGUUAGUACUGACAUCUUGGUGCUGAGCGUUAUGCAUUUGGUUGUUGCAGGGUACGGAAAAAUGCCGGAAUACGAGCAUAUAUUCACAGAUUUUCUUGUUAGCCUUGCGCAGAGCAAGUGUAUAGAGUGAGUGACAUGGUGCAUGGCUGUUGGGAAGAGUAGAUAUUGUACAUUGUGUCUGCUUGUAAAUCUGUUUGAGACUCUACUUUCCUGUUAUUAGCAGAAUUGCUGGUUCUCGUAGUUUACCAAUUUAUCUUGCCAUCCAUAUCCACAUUUGGGCUCUGUUCCUUUGUUGCAAAUAUUUCUUCAUUAUCCGAAUUUUGGUUAUAUCAUAAUCACAUUGGGGUUUUAUUUCUUCAUUAGAUUUCAGUGGUGUCCUUUUGGGGGAAAGGGGUGGGAGAUGCUUGAAUUUUUGCUGUUAGAUUAACUUUAUUUUGUAGAAUCUAGUUGAUGUUUAUUUAGUACUUAUGUCAACUUUCUUGUAAAACAAAAAAUAUAUAAAUUGUGUACGUGUGUUGGCCGAGCGGUAAUGAUUAAUAUCUAAGGUCAAAGGAGUUCGAGUUCCCUGUGACGCGGCUACAAAUUUCUUUAUUUAAUAUUAUUAAUUUAUCAAAAAAAUAAAAAUAAAAAUACAUAAAUUAUUUAAGUAAUUCUAUCCUGUUUCAAAGUGGCUAGCUUUGGUUUUAACAAAUGAAGCGGUGUCUUGGGAAGAAAACACUAACUUUUAGAAAACAAUAUAAAUGAAUUUAUUGAAAUUUAUUACUAAAUUAAAUAAAAGUUCGAUAGAUAAAUAUGCUAUGUAUCAUCUGUACUUGGAUAGUACAGAUGAAAGAUGUGAUUAAUAAGUGUGCGUGUGUUGGUUAAGCGGUAAAUGGUUAAUGCCUAAGGCCAAAGGUCUUAGAUUCGAGCACCAUGUGAUGCGGCCUUUAAACACCUUAUCUCUCAUUACCAUAUUGUUCAUUUAUAAAAAAAAAGUGAUUAAUAAAUCUUUAUUGAUAAUUAAUAAAUUAUAUUGAGGAUUAAUAAACCCUAAUUUUUUUUUUUUUUGAUCGGACAAAGUUAUGUUAGAUGUUAGUAAUUAGUUCCCUAUCCACUCCAAGAACCACCUUAUCUCUCCAUUCACCAAAGUCCACCUUAUAUCUCCAAUCUCCAAUUCGCUCCCAAGAGGGAUCAAACCCAGGUCACUUCACUUAAGUGAGGACCCGGUGGCCAGUGGACUAAGCCCCCUGGUUAUUAAUAAACCCUAAUUGACACUCUUUGUUUUGCUUCUUCAAUUUACUUGACUAAUUCUGUUACUGUAUAACUUAUUUAUAUCAAUAGAUGCUAAUUAAUUGGGCUGCACAUUAUCUAAGGUUAGUAUUGCAUCAAAUUGUGCUUCAGUAUUGAGAGACAUGAAUGUCUGCUGAUCAACGUCAAGACUCAAAAGUCUAUUAUAAAUACUAGUAGUAGAAGAUUAUUUGAACUUGAGAAGAGAUAUACAGGUAGUUUAUAGCAUGAAUUUUGGAGGAAACAUCAGGGCGCAGCCCACCUUUUUAUCUUUACUUAUUGAUAUUGUUGCCAAUAAUGUAUUUUUUCGAAUUUUGUAAUUUUUAGUAUUUUUAUUAAAGUUGUAAUUACAAUAUUAAUUUUAUUAUUUUUGAAAUUCAAUCGCGUAGCUUUUCUUUAGCAAUAAAACUAUGCUGUUACAUCCAUAAAGCAAUGUUGUUUUGAAAAAAGUAUGAUACUUUUAUUUGCCAAAAUAAAAAAAUUGCAUUAUAAUUAUAACAUUUUAAAAAUAAAUACACAAUAUUCAAUCCGCCCUACUAUGAAGUGUGCAUAAACCUUGAAAAUUAGAAUGAACUAGUGUUAUACCCGUGCUUCGCACGGUAUGUAAAUAUAUAAAACUUUGCAUAUAUGAAUAAUUAAUACAUAAAUAUAUAAAUAAUAUAAAAAGAUAAAUACAAUCAAUAUGUAUAUAUAUAUAUAUACAUAACUUAAAAAAUAAUCUUUUCAUUCACAAAAAUUACAGUGUAGUUUGAGACAUAAGUUUUAAUAAAUUAUUGCGAGAUAUAUAUAAAGGGAAAAAAGAGAGAGAGAGAGAUCCUCUAAAAUUGAAUGGAAAAAGAGACAAAACAAAGUUGAUGUGUUAAAUAGUAGUGUUUUGUUGUGAAUAUUGACUGUGAAUGGAAUAAAAUAUCCAUUUUAUUGGAUAUCGACCCCUUUUCCGACCUGUUCUCAUGCUGCCUAUGUUUGUUGGAUAUCAACCCAUUUUCUUAUUCUUGGUGCUCACCUUUCUGAUGAGUUCUCGAGCACCCGUGCAUUCGUUUGCUGUGUUUCUCAACCUCGAGCCUUCUAAGUUCGUUUGGGUUCACUGGUUUUGCGGGAGACUUGGUGGUCUCGUUCAUCCCCAUUUGGCAGGACGUGCAUUCUUGAUUGUCGACACCUCUCGAGAUUUUAUUGUACUCGUGCGAUGCACAGUCUGUAAAUAUAUAAAAUUUUGUAUACACAAAUAAUCAAUAUAUAAAUAAAUAUAUAUAUAUAUAUAUAUAUAAUGAUGUAAAAAACAUAUUAUAUAUAUAAUAAAAUACUCUUUGUAUUCAUGAAAAUUACAGUGUAAUUUGAAAGCAUGUGUUUUAAUAAUUAAUAAUUAAUAAUUUUAGCGGAUAAAGGACCCAUCAAAAUUGUUGUUUUAAAUGGUUGGUAUUUUUUUUGUAAUUUAUCUAAAAUACUUACAUCUAACAUGUUGGAAGACUUCCCUAUGAAAAACAUUCUUAGCAUACGUACAAUUUUAAUCCUCGUCUCUAUAUAUUAGAAUUUUCAAACCUCGACAAUUAGUAACCCAUGAUACAUAUUGACCAAAACUUUUAUUAAUCAUCAUUACAUAAGACAUAACUAAUGAAAAUUGGAUCAACAUUGAAACUUGAAUGGUAAUAUUAGAUCUGAUGGCGUUACGAUAAUUGAUGUAUUAAAAUUCUAUACCCAACAUUAUGUCUGCUCAACAAUAUUUCAUUGAGAACUUGCAGACCAAUAAUAAUCGAUUUGAUUCCAUUACAACGAUAUAAGUUUUUUAAUAAAUAACAGGAGAUUCAAUUUUGUAAAAUAAUUGAUGAUUAGGUGUAUCUGAAGACCUAAUUUCAUUUAAAAACUCAGCUAGAUAAAUUCCAUCCAACAAUGUGCUACUUUAAUCAAAUUUACAUGCACUAUAUGAACUUAAAUAAUUUUGAAUAUCAUAUUAAUUUAUUGAAAUUGAUAGAGUUUGAUUCAUCAUAUCAGCUACAUCCAACAUAGCAAUAAGUAUAGCUUUAUCAUGUAAGUAUGAACCAUCAUCAGUAUAUAGUGGAUAAGUGUUUGACACUAUUUCAAAUAACGAAUCUCCAGAACAAGUGAGCAAAAUCUCUUGGUAUUUUAAUAACACAUCAUACAAAGCCAAAAUCAAAGCUGACCUAACCUUAUAAAAUUUAUUAAACACCAUCAACUUCUAAAAAAAUAAAACAUGUAAUUUUUAACAAUUGAAAAUUAAAUAAACCAAUAAACCACCAAAAACAUUUAAAAAAGUUACUACAAACUCUCUUGUUGAACCUCCCUCACCGUGUAGACCAGAGCUCCACUCGUCAAUCCGCCGUCGUCCCGCCCCACUAUGUUCCAUUCCAUAUAUAGUGUAAUACUAUUACGUAAAUGACACUUUUACUAACAACAAACGAUAUUUUUAUAAAUAACACCAAAUUAUACUUUAUAAAAUGUGUCAUUUGCUAUUAUAAAAAGUAUAGUUUGUAUUUAAGAAAAGUAGUAAUUUUUGUCUAAAAGAAAAAAAAAGUAUCGUUUUGCAUUAUGCUUUAAAUAUAUGGUGCAUCUUUUAUUGAUAAAAAUAUAAUUUGUUGUUGAUGAAAGCAUUAUUUUUUGUUAGUUUAAGUGUGAUUUAUAUUAUAUAAAUGAAUUGGACGGAGCGGGGCAAGGCAACGGCGGGCCAAAUCAAGGUGACGCCCCAAGCUACGGUUCGCAUGGUGAUAGAGGCUUGACAGGAGUUAUGCUCUAAGGCAAAACAUAAUUAAAAUAUAAAAAAUACUAUAUCCUAUUCAUAUUUUUUUUUUCUGUUCAAUUUUUUUCAUUUCUUUUUUGCUUUUGUUCGAUUUUUUCCCUUCUUUCUUUCUUCAUGUUCAGUUUCUUCUUCUUCUUCUUCUUCUUCUUCUUCUUCCCCCAUCUGUUUCUACCAAGUAAAAAGGCUGAAGAAAUUCUAAAGUUUUUCCCCCUUUAUCCGGAAGAGCUUUGUGUUACAUGAAGUUUGACGAUUUGAUUGCUAAAAAGUUGAUUGGAUUUUUAAGUUAAAUAUGUUUAUUUGUAAUCCAAUAUAAUUAUCGAAUUAUUGGAUAUGUGAAUCUGGGAGAAUCGCAUAAAUCUAAAAGUAAUACUUGGUUCAGUGAAAAUAUUCCAUUCCGUUUCUUCUUUUUCUACUAUCAGUUUUCUUCUUGUUUUGUUUAAUUUUUCGUGCUCCUUUUUAUUUUUAUUCUUCUCCAAAACUAAAAAAGAAAAUGAACACAAACACCAGUAACCCCAAAAAUAAUCAUAUUGCAAACAACAAAUCUAGGGUGAUUAUGGCAUGAGUGAGGAGCUAUGCAGCGGCGAAUCGCAAUCGGGUGUGAUAGCCCAAGACGGUGACUCAACUUGAAGAAGCUGCGGUGAUGAGAGCGAGAAGCACUACAAUAACAUUGACGAAAGUUUAAGGUCGGGGAGGUUUUUUAGGGUUUUCAUUGGUUUAACAAAUUUUAAACUUUUGUUAAAGACUAAUUUUAGAUUUUUAAAAUCUUUCAAACUUUUAGAUUUUUUUGUUAAUAUUAAAUAUAUAUACAUAUAUAGAUAUAUUUAUGAAAGGGAAUUUUAAAUAAUAAUAAUGGCUAAAAUUAUUAUAUUUUUAUUUUUAUGUUCAUAAUCAAUAAGCAAAAUGGUUAAUUUAAUAUUUAUCUGUUUUCUUUUUAGGAAUCAACAAUCAAUAUUUGACAUGAUAAUUUUUAAUUUUUAAUUAGAUUAAAUGACUUGUAAGCAUACAUGAUUAUUUUUUAAUCUUUAAUUGGAUUAAAUGAGUCGAAAGAGUAAAUUAUUGUUGGUAAUAAAAAAAAAUUAAGUCCAAACUAUUUAUUAAAAAAGAAGAAGCCCAAACUUACACAAACCAAUAUCCAAUAUUUUAUAAAAUUAAUUACAUUUAACAAACAACUCUUUUAGAUUAUAAACAAAAAUAAAUAAACAAUAAGUCACCGCCGCUUCUUCCUCUUUUCUUAUUUCUUCAACUGCAUUGUUUUUUUUUUUCUUCAACAAUUCAACAUUGUUCUUUUCUUUUAAAGACCAUGUCUCAAAUUAAAAAAUAUGGCCCAACUUUGAUAAGUAAAAUCAAGCCCAAACAAAACUCUCUCUCUCUUUUCUCUCUCUCAUAUACAAUCGGUCUCCUCUCUCUCCUCGUAUCUCUCACUCUCUCUCAAUCUCACAGAUACGCACACACAUCCCCUACCGCUUCCUCCUCCGGCGAAGGGCGCCGUCUUCGACCACCUACGCCACAGGCAUCUCCUCCGUCUCACCUCUCGCUCCCUGUCUACCCCCUUCUAUCACUCAGCGCGCACGGCGAGGCUGCACAUGCAUCGCAGCCUCCGUCGCUACGCCGCCGCCGCAGUCACCAUCUCCACGCCUUCCAUCUGUAAUUUUCGGCCUUGCUACCUCUCGUUUUGCUACGCACAAUUUAUCUAUCAACGUCAACUACAGAAGCAAAAAUCGGCGAAUUAGUUAAUUAGGGGCGAAUUUAUUUAACGCUUUUAGUUGAAGGGGCAAGAAUUGCAGAAAUACCUCACAAGCAUUAUUGUAUUAUUGUUUAGCAGAUGUAACUGGAACACACCGUCACACUCCAUUUCUGCUAAGGAGUUCAAUUUGUGACUCUGAAUCAGUUAAAAUGGGCUACGUACAAGAAGCCAGAGAAAAUCACGUCAAGAAGAAGGUCGAAGAAGGUAACUUCUUCUGUUAUUGAAUACUCCAUGAUUUAUCAGAAAUCCCCUUAAACCCUAUUCUUGCUUACUUUUUUAUGCUUUGCUAAUUGCACUGCCUUGCGCAUUCUUUUCUGAUUUGUUUGAUCAAUCUCAAGGUCCCGUGGCUGUGUUUUUCUUAAACGAGGUGUUUAAUUUUUCAGGCUUCCAUUUCAGUCUUUAAUUGCAGGGGGAGUGAAAAAAUUUAAUCUGUCUUUGAUUGGAAAACGAUGCUAUCAUGCAGCAAAUUUUUUAUUUUGAUAAAUAAUUCGUUUUUAAGUAUACCUUGGUGAGAAAUUAGUGUUCAUAUAUGUUUUUCUAUGGAUACACUGGUGCACGAGGUUUUGAAAUAGGGUGAAUAUAGUCAGCGUUGUAGAUUGGAAAUAAUGGAUUUUACACGGUAGAUAAGCUUGAGAAUCAAUUACAUGCUUUCGGGGGCUCAAGGAAAUUUUUGUUUCUGUAACCAAAUGCGGGGGUGAGCUUUAUAGGAAGGAGGUCAAUAGCCACACCUUUUAAGUGCGCGAUAAAGUCUUGCUAACUGUAUCGUUUCCUGAUCCCAAUUGCUGGUGCAAUGUAGAGCGUUGCAUAAAACUUCGAGGAGAUAAACAAAAGAACCUAUUUAUCUUACUUCUCAUGUUCUUUGCUUUUCGUGUACUAAGAUUCCAUGCAGACCAACAUCAAAUUGUAAGUGUUUAUGGCAAUAAAUCAUUCAUCUCAAUGGAGAAGUAGUAAUUCCCUCCUUUUAUAUGAUUUUUAUUUGUAUCCUCAUUUGUAUAUGAUGCUUUUGGGGUUCUCCUGCUAUGACAAGUUAGUUAUGGCUUAAUCUCUGUUUUUCAUCAAUUGACUAUACUUUUUCCCUUUUGUUUUGUUUUGGGUGGGUGGGGGGUGUGCUAAUGAUAAGUUUACAAUUAUGCAAUUAGAAAGAAGUGCGUCUCCUUGAACUUAUGGAACACUUGCUCCUUGUGCUGAUUUGUAUUUAGUGUCUAUAAUAUAGUUCGUUUAAUCAACUGGUUGAUAUGCACUUUUUUUUUGGUUGCACUAUCAUAUCAUAUCCAAAGUUGACUUUCAACAGUUUCAUCUGUCAUUAUGAAGUAAGUUGAGGCCAGAAAUAAUUAUUUUGGGUUUCAGAGUUAAUUAUGAUUAUGCAAAUAUUUAUUCAUCAAAUACUCCAGCUUUGCGCAGUAAGAUGAAACAGAAAGCACUGAAAGAAUGCGAUCAAUACGUGUCCAAAUAUGCUGAAUGUGCUGUAGGCAGAACAUUGUCCGUUGUUUGGAAAUGUCGCGGUGAAGCUAAGGAAUUGAAUACAUGCCUCCAUCAGUAGUAAGUCAGAUUUGUCUCUUUCUUUAUAUCUUUGCUAUUAUUUUCUUAAAAUUUAAUAUGGCCUCUUUGUACUUUGUUUACCGUUUGUUCUGUAGUAUAUGCUAAUAGUGUUGGUAUGGAAAAAUCGUUAUUUGUUUCUACGCGGUUGAAAAUUUCCCCCCAAUACACACACAGCAUCCAGUGCUUUUCUUUUUUCUUUCUAUUUAUAUUUAUUUUUUAUUUUGUAUUGUUACUUCUUAAGAUUACAAAACUUUUCCCCCCAAUUACCACACACACAGCAUCCNNNNNNNNNNNNNNNNNNNNNNNNNNNNNNNNNNNNNNNNNNNNNNNNNNNNNNNNNNNNNNNNNNNNNNNNNNNNNNNNNNNNNNNNNNNNNNNNNNNNNNNNNNNNNNNNNNNNNNNNNNNNNNNNNNNNNNNNNNNNNNNNNNNNNNNNNNNNNNNNNNNNNNNNNNNNNNNNNNNNNNNNNNNNNNNNNNNNNNNNNNNNNNNNNNNNNNNNNNNNNNNNNNNNNNNNNNNNNNNNNNNNNNNNNNNNNNNNNNNNNNNNNNNNNNNNNNNNNNNNNNNNNNNNNNNNNNNNNNNNNNNNNNNNNNNNNNNNNNNNNNNNNNNNNNNNNNNNNNNNNNNNNNNNNNNNNNNNNNNNNNNNNNNNNNNNNNNNNNNNNNNNNNNNNNNNNNNNNNNNNNNNNNNNNNNNNNNNNNNNNNNNNNNNNNNNNNNNNNNAAACUGUCCCUGCAUUAAUCAACAAAAGAUAUAAAUAUAUGCUUGACUAGAAAUGAUGAACAUAAUGUAUGAGUGAAUAAUUAUGAAGACCAUACAUGUAUAAGCUUUCCCUGAUUUUGUUGCUGCGGAGCUGCUGCAAGUAACCUUCUCAAAUUCACUUCAGUUUUGCUCAAGCCCAUCACAGAAUCCAAAGCACGUAUAGUUAAAAGACCAACUGAGAUAAACAGCAGGAUAAUAGCUGAUUAUUAAAAGGUAAAUUACUAAAAUCAAUCAGUCUGUACUGAAUUAUUAUGGUAGAUGAACAUCCAUCACAGACUUGGAGGAUUAGUCAUCUAUCUAUCUAUACUAAUAUUAAAGCAAAGAUUUCUAGGGGAAUGUGUUUCCCGCCAAUGCUACUACUUUCUUUUUAUCCACUGAAUAACAUGAAGAAUUUUAUCUGCUGGAUAAUAGGUUGCAGUGCAGUUUUGGCUCCAAUUUAUGGAGCCCAAAUUUGAUUUUUGAAUCUGUUAACUCAAUUUUUACCAUCUAUAAAUAGUAGAUAUUUAGCUGCUAAAUUUUCAUUUCCUCUUCUUUUAGAUUUGUAUUAUUAUUCUAUCAAAUUUUUUCGAAAAAUCUUCUGUUAUUUUUGUUGAAGAAAGCUUUGUUCUUUUAAAAAAAUAUACUUUCAAAAGUCAAUUUUUAGAUUGUUGAAGUCUAAACUUUCUCUGCAGAUGAGAUUUGAAUCUGUUAAUGGAGGGCGAAUCUCAGAUCUACAGCAACAAAAAAGAGCAUGAAUGAAUCUCUCAAAUGUAUAUUCAUGAUUUAUAGGAAACAUAGAUUGUAGAUGUAUUUUUGUAAUAAGUUGGCAUCAAAGAUUUUGUAUUUUUGUAUUUUUGCAGUAUUUAUCAACUGAUUCUGUAUUUUUGUUGUUUUUGUAUUUAACUGAUUCUGUAAAUCAUUUGCACAACAAAAUAGUGCAAAUGGGAAAGAACAUAACUUAGAAACCUAAAAUUUCUUGAAAUAAAAGCAACAAAAAAAAUGCAGAAAAUAGAAACAAAAUAUGCAAUUAGUACGAGAAUUUCGAAAAGAGAACUCCUCCACACACCUUUUUUUCUUCUUUUCUUCGACAGCAGGGGCAGUUGCAGCGGCACCUGUAGCACCGCCAGUAGGAGCGCAACUGCAACGAGAGCAGCAACUACAACGACCUGUGAUUUUGAAGGUGCGAGGGGCGGCGAGAUGGUAGUCACAGCAGCGACAGUCAAUUAGGGAGUGAAGGGAGUUGGGUGUUAAGGAUUCAAGUUUAGGUUUUUUAAAUUAGCAUUGUAAUUGAAUAAAAUUGAGAUAGCAAACCUCGGGUAGCAAAACGAGAGGUAGCAAGGCCGAAAAUUACAGAUGGAAGGCGUGGAGAUGGUGACUGCGGCGGCGGCGUAGCGACGGAGGCGGCGCUGCAUGUGCAGCCUCGCCGUGCGCGCUGAGUGAUAGAAGGGGGUAGACAGGGAGCGAGAGGUGAGACGGAGGAGAUGCCUGUGGCGUAGGUGGUCGAAGACGGCGCCCUUCGCCGGAGGAGGAAGCGGUAGGGGAUGUGUGUGCGUAUCUGUGAGAUUGAGAGAGAGUGAGAGUA
rnacentral:lncRNA from 1 species